rnacentral:tRNA from 3 species
GAGGACUUAGCUUAAGUUAAAGUGUUUGAUUUGCAAUCAAUUGAUGUGAGAUAAAUUCUUGCAGUCCUUA